rnacentral:lncRNA from 1 species
GUAGCAUGCAUCACUCUGGAAGCAUUUUGCUUAAAUAUUUAUCAAACCUCUUCCAGGCCAAGGGGAGGAGGGACAAGGCUGGGAUUGAGGACGGGCUGAGGGUAACAUUUAUCUUGCAGGGAGCAAAAGAGCUCAAGCGUGGCAAUGAGAUACUGAUCAUCCCCAGGUCUUUUUCGUUUUCCCAACAAGCAAUGCAAAAGUCACCUCACCCCCAGCUGCUCUGCUUGUAUUUCCCAUCCUUUCUGCAUCCCUGUGAUAAGCAGCUGCCACACACCCUCACCCCACCACCCCUUCCUCCCUCGGCGUGGGACCGACCCUUAUCUCUGCACCGCGUAAUUUGAUUUUCACGGCAGUGGGAGCAUUGGCAAUUACCACAAUAAAAGAGAUUUACAGCCGGGCCUGACACCGUGUCACCCUCCUGCUCAGCCCCCCAGCCUUACAGACACCUGGGGAGUACUCCUCCCGGCACGAUGCUUGCAGAGCUCCUGCAGCACUGGGCCUUGGAGUUCAGGAGUGCUCAGACCUCAGCAGAGAUGAGGAAACAGCAGAGAUCACCCGAAGGGGAACUCAGCCCUUUGCUGUGUGAUAACAUCUCGGCUGUGCUGUGCUGGAGCAGAGACACCAGAGGAGAAAAUAGGAUCCCUGGGAAGACAGCCUGGCUUAUCAGCACCGAGUGGCUUAAAUCAGCACUCAGCCGUGGCAACAAAGUGGGGAUGGAGCUCGUUGGGAGCUGGCUUAAUUGCUUAGUCACAAGGUAAUUUUGUCAGGUCAUUCAUUCCUGGUUGAUUUUGUUAGUUUGCUAAUCAGAUCUGGGCAGCCGUGUAGUGGUGCUGUUAGAUGGGAAGGGGGGGGGGGGUUGCACGGUUGCAUUGCUUUUCCCUGCCCGGCUACGGGAGAGCAAACAGCUCCGCACCAUCCGAGCGCUCCGGGCUGCAGGACCCGCCGUGCCCACAAGAGGCUGCUGGUGCUGUUUGCAAACGUCCCCGGUGCCAGCUGCUUUAAUCGAAGGAUAACAAUGAAACAACAUCGGAAGAACGAGGAAGAAGUCGCUUCCUGUCCAGAUGUGGGAGGCGCGGUGCGCUCUGCGAACGUGGGGGUGCUGCAGGGGUGAUCGUGGGGGGCGCACGGGAGGGGAAGUGCUUUAGGCAGGGAAAAGAGCUUCUGUACAGAGAAUGGAGCAACCGAGUGCAGGGCGAGCAGAGCCGGGCUGCUGCCUGGACCCCAAACGUCUGUGCUGUUCCAUUUUGCUCUGAUUUCUGCAGGGUUUUCAGGAGCUGGGACCUGCAUUUCCAUGGGGGUGGAGGGAGAGAAGAAAAUCCUUUUCCAACUCUGAGCAGCCCGAGUGGUUCUGCCGAAGCCAAACCCUCAUUCACAGCACCUGGAGGGCAGAGCCUUUGGCUGG